GUUCGCUUGGGCAGCACCUAUACUAGAAACUGGAAUGAGACAGAGAUCAGCACGGCCCCUACCAAAGUUGACGCACACAUUCACGAAGCAUUCCAUUUUUUU